rnacentral:rRNA from 1 species
CCUACGGGUGGCAGCAGUGGGGAAUAUUGCGCAAUGGGCGAAAGCCUGACGCAGCGACGCCGCGUGAGGGAUGAAGGUCUUCGGAUCGUAAACCACUGUCAGCAGGGAAGAACGGUCACUGUGCUAAUCAGCAGUGAAUUGACGGUACCUGCAAAGGAAGCACCGGCUAACUCCGUGCCAGCAGCCGCGGUAAUACGGAGGGUGCGAGCGUUAAUCGGAAUUACUGGGCGUAAAGCGCUCGUAGGCGGUAUGUUAAGUCAAGUGUGAAAUCCCCGGGCUCAACGUGGGAACUGCCUUUGAAACUGGCAAGCUGGAGUGUGGGAGAGGAGAGUGGAAUUCCAGGUGUAGGAGUGAAAUCCGUAGAUAUCUGGAGGAAUAUCAGUGGCGAAGGCGACUAUCUGGAACAAAACUGACGCUCAGGAGCGAAAGCGUGGGGAGCAAACAGGAUUAGAUACCCUAGUAGUC